UUUGUCUGUGAUGAUGAUCAGUAGUAUUUUUCGAGUUUUCAUUGACCAUGAGAAUGUCCUACAUGCACUACCAUCUGAGACAUC